UACGUAGGGUGCGAGCGUUAAUCGGAAUUACUGGGCGUAAAGCGUGCGCAGGCGGCGCGUUAAGACAGGUGUGAAAGCCCCGAGCUUAACUUGGGAAUUGCGCUUGUGACUGGCGUGCUGGAGUGUGGCAGAGGGAGGUGGAAUUCCACGUGUAGCAGUGAAAUGCGUAGAGAUCCGGAAGAACACCGGUGGCGAAGGCGGCCUGCUGGGCAGUGGCUGACGCUGAGGCGCGACAGCGUGGGGAGCAAACAGG
rnacentral:rRNA from 1 species